GAUGAACGCUGGCGGCGUGCCUAAUACAUGCAAGUCGAGCGAACGGACGAGAAGCUUGCUUCUCUGAUGUUAGCGGCGGACGGGAGAGUAACACGUGGAUAACCUACCUAUAAGACUGGGAUAACUUCGGGAAACCGGAGCUAAUACCGGAUAAUAUUUUGAACCGCAUGGUUCAAAAGUGAAAGACGGUCUUGCUGUCACUUAUAGAUGGAUCUGCGCUGCAUUAGCUAGUUGGUAAGGUAACGGCUUACCAAGGCAACGAUGCAUAGCCGACCUGAGAGGGUGAUCGGCCACACUGGAACUGGAACACGGUCCAGACUCCUACGGGAGGCAGCAGUAGGGAAUCUUCCGCAAUGGGCGAAAGCCUGACGGAGCAACGCCGCGUGAGUGAUGAAGGUCUUCGGAUCGUAAAACUCUGUUAUUAGGGAAGAACAUAUGUGUAAGUAGCUGUGCACAUCUUGACGGUACCUAAUCAGAAAGCCACGGCUAACUACGUG
rnacentral:rRNA from 1 species